UCGUGAUCCAGAAAUAGAUAGGGGGCAUCACUCCUAUAAAAGGCUCACCAUUCAAGAGUACAGUGUGUGCACAGUUUGAAGAAGCGAAAAGACAGAGAACAUUUUAUGGAGAAAAUUGCUAUUUUUCUGUCACUUUCCGUGUUUUUACUGGAGGCUCCGAGGCUACAAUGGUUGUGUACAUCACACACACUAUGCUGGGGAGACGGCAGCAGUGACCUGACCACAAUGUCAGCAUGUGGAAUCCACAGAGUGAGUGAGGGAAAGUGUGAGAAAAAGUAAACCUUAGAUUUUCAUAUUUUUAAGCAACAAUGUCUGGAAACAUGUUCAUGCACCAUAGGUGUGCAUUCAUUUUACACCACCCAAAAACGUGUUCUUCUUGUUUUUGUUUGUCUUUUUCUUCUUGUUCUUCUUGAUCAUCAAAUAUUACAACAAUGGAAAUACAGGUUGUCUACGCAGCUUUUCCCUUACAACAACAAUAUUUGGGUGUACUAAACAGUGUUAUCUACAAUAUAAAAAAAUGUCACUACUUAUUAUUGCAAGUGAGGAAUGAGCCCUAAUCAUUUAUCUUCCUUACAAAGGAUUUAAUUUGAACCUGUUCAGACUCAGCACUUAAAUACUCUAUGUGUCACAACAUGCCAGUGUAUUGAUUUUCAAAGAUUCAUAAUAUUUUAGUGUGCAAAUACUUCAACAGGCAGGAACUUGUAACUAAACCUUCAGUGUUAAAAUGAGACGAUUAGUCACAAACACAAACUGAAAACCUUAGGUGAUAAAUGAUACCCUAACCCUAGCUUUCCCUCAGUUUCACUUAUGUUAUGUUGCUUUUUGUUAAUUUGUCGUGAAAGACUGAGCCCUUUAAAUUUGCUUUGUGAGAUAUUUUAUUAGGAGUUACUUCAUACAGGAUACCCUGGGUCCUGGGGUCUCACCUAUGGCCAUGAGAAAUUAAAAAACGCCCCUUGGCUCUUGUGAAUAGGGAACUCCUGUUUCAGGGGAUUGAGAAUGUGUUUAAGCCUCCCUCUCCCUGCGAUUUCACCUCCAGGCCACCUUUUUAAUCAGCUCACCUGCUUAAAGGAGAAUUAAUAACAAUUACACAAAAUACACACGCUGGUCUGCUUCUGUAGUUCUCUGUCUUAUGUGGCAAGAGGAUGGAAACAAUAACUUUGUAAAAAGUCAUAAAUGGUAAAAGAUUUUAUUUUAGAUUUAAUGUCUACAGUAAAAGACAACCAUAUUAAAAAUAUAAUUUAAAAAAUACUUCAAUAAAAUUCCUAUUUUAGGGAAAUACAGGGAUACGGUGUGUGAUUUUCUUUUACAGGGUUUACGUUUACAAAGUGUUUUGGAUUUAGUGAGGACCAAACCUACUGCCUGUAAUGUGCUGUUAGUGAACAAACACUUUUAUAGUUUACAACACAUCUACAUUAAAGAGGAAUUUCUAAAUGUAUUUGUCCAAUAAUGAGCACAUUUAAACAUGUAUGUUAUCUGAAAGGCAAGACACAUGGUAAUGUCUAUAUAAGUCUUUGAUAAAUAUAUUCUAUAUAUAAUCAAAUUAGAGACAAUACUGUGUACUACAUUUACAGAAGCCCACUGAUGACAACCCACACUUUGAUACGUUGAGGAUUCAGAUCAAUAAUACCAAAUAUAAUCAACAAAUGCUUCAUAGUGUAGUAUGCAAGGUUUAGAUAAACAGUUUUAUUUCCUUGUUAAAAUGCACAAACUACAGGUCAGUAUAUGUAGUGGAAAAACGUUCCUUCUUUACCAGCUCCCACACGGACAGUGAACACAUCAAUGCAUUAAUAAUUAUAUUUAAAUGAUAUAACAUGACAUUCACUGGAAAAGUACUUUUCCUUUAAAUUUGUAUGGGUUGAAUACUUUUCUACUUUCAUACAAACAACAUUUUCAAUGCAAGAAUGCUACACCCACACCAAGCAACCGGGCACUGAAUUCACUUGAAAUCUGCAAGCAAUUCUUCUAACACUCUUAAGAAGUGUUCAACUAUCUAAGUGAAAACAAUGAGGUACACAAUAACGGUUUAGGCACCUAACGAAAAUUAAUAUUCCCUUGAAUAAUUCAUUUGUGGUGUUUUUUUAUUUAACAAUAGGCAGAGACAAUAAUGUGUGUGUGUGUGUGUGUGUGUGUGUGUGUGUGUGUGUGUGUGUGUGUGUGUGUGUGUGUUACCUUUUACCUCACAAUUUCCCUCCCUCCAUGUGUGCUGUCUUUUUUCCAUUUCCAUUUUUUUCACAAAUGUAUUUAAACUUCACAUUUCAUGUUCGUCUUAUAUUGUGAUAUCUUUUCUAUUUUAUUUGUUCAAAUACACUGUAUCCUAGUGUCUAUGGAAUAUGGAGAAUAAAAUUGAAUCAUAAAUCAAAUCGAUUAAAACAAUGAAACCCAACCUUUACCAUAUGCCAACAAAUACUUUGUGACGUUGUAAUGUGUUAACUUUAUAUUUACAUUCGCUCUGAUGACUAAUAGAUUUUCAGUGGAAUUGUAUACAGUUAACUGUGUGUGUAUGUUUUGUUUCAGGUGAUACUAUAUAUUUCAAUAUUAAUGAGGUUUUUCACACAUUUCAUACAACAGCUGUUUAAUAAAACCAAACUGAAAUCUUC